UACGGAGGAUGCGAGCGUUAUCCGGAUUUAUUGGGUUUAAAGGGUGCGUAGGCGGGAUGCCAAGUCAGCGGUAAAAAUGCGGUGCUCAACGCCGUACAGCCGUUGAAACUGGCAGUCUUGAGUGGGCGAGAAGUAUGCGGAAUGCGUGGUGUAGCGGUGAAAUGCAUAGAUAUCACGCAGAACUCCGAUUGCGAAGGCGGCUCUCUGGUCUGCAACUGACGCUGAGGCUCGAAAGCAUGGGUAGCGAACAGG
rnacentral:rRNA from 1 species